GGGCUCAGCCACCUCAUUGGCCACGGGCAGCCUUUGUCGUGUGAGCCUUGCUCUCCUGGGGAGGCUCAGGCUGACGGCUGAUGUGGGCAUUGCUGAGGGUAACCUGUGGCCCAGUGGAUAUGGCUGGGUCUCCUCAAGCUGCAUUCAUUCAAGUAGGACCCAGGGUGCAUGCCCAUCUCCAGCCCAGGGCAGCUCCCCUGUAAGCUGGGUGAGCUACUGAAGCCAAGGCGGGAGGCAGCUGACAACACCCACGGCCCAUGCGGAGGUGGUAGAAAGGCUGGACUCAGCAGCAACACCAAAUCCCGGACCAGGCAGAAACCACCCAAGACUGAGGGGCUCGUGCCAGAGCGGUGGCCACAGAGACUUCAGAACCCACUCCUGAGAACAGCGGAGCCAGGCGCUUAGAGGAAGACCAAAUGCUGCCAGGACACGGAUUGUCCAGGGAUUACAUUCCAGCAUCUUAUUAGAGGACCGAAGCAGAGGGUGCUGUUUCAA